rnacentral:rRNA from 1 species
UGUAAGCGUAUACCAAAGUUGUUGCAGUUAAAACGCUCGUAGUCGGACUUUGGCAGUUCCGGAUGUGUGCACGUCGUGUGCGCACUUCGCGGGGAUUGCUUUUGUGGUCUUGCGUAGGAUGAGGCACUUUUAUUAGUGAACGUCCUCACGCAACCACUUUUUACUGUGAGAAAAUCAGAGUGCUCAAAGCAGGCAUUUGCCGUGAAUGUAUUAGCAUGGAAUAAUAGAAUAGGACUUGGUUCUAUUUUGUUGGUUUGUUGGGACUGAGUAAUGAUUAAGAGGGACAGUUGGGGGCAUUUGUAUUUCGGUGCUAGAGGUGAAAUUCUUAGAUUACCGAAAGACAAACUGCCGCGAAAGCGUCUGCCAAGGAUGUUUUCAUUGA